UACCAGCACCCCGAGUGGUCGGGACGUUUAUUGGGCGUAAAGGGCUCGUAGGCGGUUUGUCGCGUCGGGAGUGAAAUCCACUGGCUUAACUGGUGGCUUGCUUUCGAUACGGGCAGACUGGAGGUAUGCAGGGGAGAACGGAAUUCCUGGUGUAGCGGUGAAAUGCGCAGAUAUCAGGAGGAACACCGGUGGCGAAGGCGGCAUCCUGGACCAACACUGACACUGAGGAGCGAAAGCCAGGGGAGCAAACGGG
rnacentral:rRNA from 1 species